AUUUCACUCGAAUGUAACUGAUGUAUAUGCUCAUAUCUUUGGUGAAGCUCUGAACAAUGGUGUGUAGAAAUUCAUCAAAAGUUGCGCGAGAGUCCCUCCAGUUGUUCUAAUCCAACACAAGUGCAACAAAAUAUAAAGUAAUGAGCAUCUGAACAUUUUUUUCCAUGUGAAAUCUCAAUUCCUGAAAAAAUCCGAUGCUGGUGCCACAUUUCAGCUGUAAUUGCUGCUUUAAUAAGCGUGCUCUCAAAUUUGCAAAUCUUAAAUCAUAGAAAUGAUCAAUUCCCCAUUCCAAAUUGGUCCAUUUUACAACAACCGAGCAAAAAUUAACAUUGGGGUUUAAAAAAGAGGUGUUGUUCUGUGCAACCUGAAGGCAAAAGAUACUAAACAUUGACGAGUGAAAACUAUAGAUGAGAGCAGAAGCGAAAGUAAGAGUAGCAAAAAGCGCAAAUUGAAAAUUAAUGCGGAACUAAUAAAAAUGUAUUUGUGUAUAUAUACAAGCCCAGCAAAUGGUAUAAUAUAAGAUUUUUCUUUAUUUCUCCCACCCAGGGAAAUUCCAGAAAUGCAAAUGCGAUAGUGUGGCUUGUUUCACACCUUACUCACUCUUUUAUCUUUAAAUCACAAACCAGCGGUAUGGUGACUGAAAGGGACAAGAAGACCUCAAUACUUUACAGGCUCUCUGGUUAGGGGGCCACACAAGGUGCUGGCAGCUUACGGUCCCUGACAGAAUCCAUACUACAAGUCUGAAUUUAGACUUGCACGCCUUCACUGGACAGUCGUAACAUGUUGUACCGCAACAGGCCAGGGCUGCACAAAUGGAUAUCGAAAGAAAGGUGUGAUUUGUGACCCAAGAAAGAGUGAAGCAGAAAGUCUACAUCUAAGGCCGUGGUGCGGCUGAGAGACCAAGGGUGUAUUCAGACCAGAAAAGUCAUUUCAUUUGGUGCGGUUCCUAUUCAGACUGUACAUUUUGUAAUUGAAGUACAUAUAUCCACGCUUAUGACCAUCUGUGCUCCCAUUGGACAGCAAUGACCAGGGCGGCACACAGCGCACAGACCCGGAAUGAAAGAAAACGUGCGAGUCCUACACGCUGCAUUCAUGGUCUGCAUGUUUGUGCUUUGGUUUCGGAUCCACGCUGUUUCUAUUCACACCUGAAGCGAACCGAGAGCACCUGAAAAAGUGGGUCUUGGUCCGUUCCUUUAAUCCACACCAGGAUUCGUUUGCCUGCACAAAAGGUCCAAACCAGCGUUACAAUCGAACCCUGGUCCGUUUAAAGUGGACCAAACAGUCAGGUCUGAAUACACCCUUAGAAAAAGAUAGGAGGCGGAGCUGGAGGUGGCAGAGAUGAAAAAGUUCAGAUUCGCUGUCACCGCUCAGGUGGGGCAGUUUGAAUACAGUCAGAGAGGUGAAAUUUAGAAGGCU